CUGCUGCCUCCCGUAGGAGUUUGGGCCGUGUCUCAGUCCCAAUGUGGCCGUUCACCCUCUCAGGCCGGCUACUGAUCGUCGCCUUGGUGAGCCCUUACCUCACCAACCAGCUAAUCAGACGCGGGUCCAUCUCAUACCACCGGAGUUUUUCACACCGUCCCAUGCGAGACCGUGCGCUUAUGCGGUAUUAGCAGUCAUUUCUAACUGUUAUCCCCCUGUAUGAGGCAGGUUACCCACGCGUUACUCACCCGUCCG
rnacentral:rRNA from 1 species